rnacentral:misc_RNA from 1 species
AAAAAUUUUAAGUUACAAAAUUUAUGCAUAUUAUUAGAUAUUUACUGAUAAUUUUUAUUAACAAUAUGUUUUAAAUUUUAAACAGUAUGUAUAAGGCCUAAUGUUAAAGUCUUAAUUUGUUGUAGUGUGAAAUGAUUAUUUGCAACCAAUCUCUAAUUGUUCUCAAUCAAACAAGUAGAAGUUUAUGAAAAUUUACUUUAUCAACUUUAUUUCCAA